AUACGGAGGAUCCGAGCGUUAUCCGGAUUUAUUGGGUUUAAAGGGUGCGUAGGCGGCCUUUUAAGUCAGCGGUGAAAGUCUGUGGCUCAACCAUAGAAUUGCCGUUGAAACUGGGGGGCUUGAGUAUGUUUGAGGCAGGCGGAAUGCGUGGUGUAGCGGUGAAAUGCAUAGAUAUCACGCAGAACCCCGAUUGCGAAGGCGGCCGGCCAAGCCAUGACUGACGCUGAUGCACGAAAGCGUGGGGAUCAAACAGGAUUAGAUACCCUGGUAGUCCACGCAGUAAACGAUGAUCACUAGCUGUUUGCGAUACACUGUAAGCGGCACAGCGAAAGCGUUAAGUGAUCCACCUGGGGAGUACGCCGGCAACGGUGAAACUCAAAUGAAUUGACGGGG
rnacentral:rRNA from 1 species